CGUUACCGGCAGGAGAUGUCCCGCCUCAUGGAGACCAUCCUCAGGACUCACGAGGAGAGGAGGCCGGCCAGAGCUGCCGACGGAGACGACGAGCGUGACAUGGUGGACGUGUUGCUGAGGAUCCAGAAGGAAGCCGACAUGCCAAUUUCCAUAACCCACGGCGUCAUAAGGGAAGUGCUCAAGGAUGUAUUCGGUGCGGGGCUCGACACCACAAUGAUUACCCUGCGAUGGGCGAUGGCUGAAUUAAUGGUGAACCCAAGGAUGAUGCAGAAGGCACAAUCAGAGAUACGCCACAUUCUUGCAGGAGAGGCCAGAGUACAUGAGGCUGCCCUAAAUGACCUACACUACCUCAAAGCAGUUAUCAAGGAGACCUUGCGGCUGCACCCUCCCGGACCGCUCGUACCCAGAAUGUGUUUGCAAGAUUGCAAGAUCCAGGGACACGUCGUGCCACAAGGCGCAAUUGUGUUCACCAACGUAUGGGCAAUAUCUAGGGACCCGAAGUACUGGUAUGAGCCGGAGAAAUUCAUGCCGGAGAGGUUUGAGGCUGAUGGUAUUGUGGACUUUAGAGGCACGAACUUCGAGUUCACUCCUUUUGGGGUCGGUCGGAGGAGCUGCCCAGGGAUAGGAUUCGCAAAUGCAAAUAUUGAGAUUGCUCUGGCUAGUCUUCUUUACCAUCAUGACUGGGAGCUGCCCGCCGGAGUUAACCCGGAGGAAGUAGACAUGACAGAGGUGUUUGGAGCCACAGUUACCAAGAAGGCUGACCUGUAUCUGCAUCCCGUUCCCGGUUUCCCCCUCUUUUAG
rnacentral:rRNA from 1 species